GGUCUGGUGGUGUAGUAGUAGAAUUUUUGCCUUCCAUGUGGAAGACCUGGGUUCAAUUCCCGGCCAGUGCA
rnacentral:tRNA from 1 species